rnacentral:ncRNA from 2 species
UCUCGGCCUUUUGGCUAAGA